UACAGAGGGUGCAAGCGUUGUUCGGAAUUAUUGGGCGUAAAGCGCGUGUAGGCGGCUUUGCAGGUCGGGUGUGAAAGCCCUCAGCUCAACUGAGGAAGUGCGCCCGAAACUGCAGAGCUUGAGUACCGGAGAGGGUGGCGGAAUUCCCCAAGUAGAGGUGAAAUUCGUAGAUAUGGGGAGGAACACCGGUGGCGAAGGCGGCGACCUGGGUAGAUACUGACGCUGAGGCGCGAAAGCGUGGGGAGCAAACAGG
rnacentral:rRNA from 1 species